UCAUCAAAGAAAAGGUCAGGGAAGCAAAAAAAGCAUAGCGGGAGGUAUUUAAACUACAACACAGCUUUUAGUUUUGAUUGGACAAUUUACGGAACUGUUCACAUUCCCAAGUUUUGAAUACCAAUAUGGUUCCUGCCCAUAGGCAAGGGAUGCUCGCAAAAAGGCUGUUGAAGAAAUGGAUGAGGAAACGAAAGCACCUGACAUAUGAGAACAUGAGGUUUUACAAGUUCUAUCCAGUGCAGACACCAGAUGCACCUGACAUAUCCCAAGUGAAGCUGCUUUGGAAAGUGGACCUUGUUUGAUCAACUUGGCAGUGGAGCUUGUUUAGAUGGGUUUUAGACAUGGAUGAAUGGGAGCUAGAUCGAUGGAUCUUAUUUAUUUAUUUAUUUUCUUUUUGAAACUAUUCAAUUUAUUAUGGCAAAUAUUAUUCACGGCAGUUCGAUGCAUGUGAAAGGGCCACAUAGGCAUGUAUUUUUUUAUAGGAAAACAAUCACUAGGCACAAUCUACUUCCUAAGAGGAAUGUGAGAUCAGGUGGGCCUUGACCAAAAGGGUCAAUGAUAAGGUCCAUCAUUUUAUGAGUUGGAGAGGCAGAACUCAUAAAAUGGGACUCACUGUGAGUAGGGCAUCUAUUUUGUGUCAUUUCCUCUUUUUUUAUUAUAAACUGAAUGUUUGCAAUCUAA